CCUUCAGAUAUGCUCAGACAAGAAUACCCCACAAGUACCCUGGAAAAAACUGGGACAUCCCAAUUUUUUUACCACGAAAGAACAGCAGCCAUUUGGGUUGCUGUGAUCUCUUACGUGAUUUCAUGGUGCUAAUUCCACACACACACACCCCAAACAAAAGCACUUGAGGGGCAGGGGGACUGAGGCAUGAAAUUGCACGAGAUCACAGCAACCCAGUCUUUGAGCUCAGGAAGAUGGCAUCUGGGAAUCUGGAUUCAAAGUAUUGGAAGGUAUGGACAAGCAGAUACAGUACUUUGAUUCCUGGUGCUGGCCUCUCCCUUCAUUCCACAUAGAGAAUACAAGUGGAUUGGAAGUUAACUCUUAUUCAACAGUGGUGAGAGGGUGGCAGCCUAGUUUAAGGGGUGCAUGGCAGAAUAUGUGGCACAUGCAACUCUGGCCUUCCCCCAUAAGGGAAUGGUAGGGUCUGCUCUGGCUUCCCUGCACAACACCUUCCAGUCCAUUCGUAAUUUGGCCCUUCAGUAUUUACACUGCUCUUCCAGAAGCCUUUUACUUGGUAUGGGGGGGAGUGUGAAAUCCCCAAAAAGGAUGUUACUUUUUUUCUGUAUGCCACAACAGCUGCGAGAAUAUUACUAUCGAAGAAUUGGAAGAAACAAGAUUUACCAACUAUCAAAGAAUGGCAGAUGAAGAUGAUGGACUAUAUGGAACUUGCCAAACUGACUGGGAGACUCCGGGACCAGAGAGAAGAGAUGGUGGAAGAAGAUUGGAAGAAGUUUAAAGAAUAUUUCAAAAAAAUAUGUUAAUACUUAAAUCUUAGAAUAGCUUUGGAAGUUGAUAUAGGCUGUAGGGUUAGAAGUAGAAGAUAGUGUAUUUUAAAAUAGUAUUAUAUGUAAGGAAUAAAACUUUUAUGGUAAAAGUAAGUGUGAUUUAAAAAAUGGUUUAAAAUUACGAUAUAUGUAAACUGCUAAAGAUGAGGUAAAAUGAAAAUCAGAUAGGGGGGACUUGGGGAAGCUCACCUAACAAUGUUUAGAAAAAAAUAAGGAUAAGACAAGAAUUUGUUUGUAUUGUUUGUUUUUUUCCUGUUUGUGUUGUUUAUUUGUGUUAUAAAAGGAAUAGCAUUUUUUGAAAAAGAAGUAUUUACACUGCUCUGAUUCUCUCACACCCCUAAAC